CUUAAACAAUGUCUACACUGUAUUUCUGAUCAAUUUGAUGUUAUUUUAAUGGACAAAAUGUUUUUCCUUUUCUUUCAAAAACAAGGACAUUUCUAAGUGUCCCCAAACUGUUGAACAGUAGUGUAACUAAACCAAAAUGGAACAUGCAGAAAAUACAUUUCUGAAGCAACAAAAUGAUACCUUGUUCACCCCCCCUCAAUAACCCAUAACGAAAAAGCCAAAACUGGUUUAGACAUUAAUUUAUUCAAAAUAAAAAACAGAAAUAACACAAUUACAUUAAGUAUUCAGACCCUUUUCUCAGUACUUUAUUGAAGCACCUUUGGCAGUGAUUACAGCCUCGAGUCUUCUUGGGUAUGACGCUACAAGCUUGGCACAUCUGUAUUUGGGGAGUUUCUCCCAUUCUUCGCUGCAGGUCCUUUCAAGCUCUGUCAGGUUGGAUGGGGAGUGUCGCUGCACAGCUAUUUUCAGGUCUCUCCAGAGAUGUUAGAUCGGAUUCAAGUCCGGGCUCUGACUGGGCCACUCAAGGACAUUCAGAGACUUGUCCGAAGGCCACUCCUGUGUUGUCUUGGUUGUGUGCUUAGGGUCGUUGUCCUGUUGGAAGGUGAACCUUCACCCCAGUCUGCGGUUCUGAGCGCUCUGGAACAGCUAGUACAGCCCCUAGUACCUUAGGUAGUACAGUAUAGCCUCAGCUAGUCCAGCCCCUAGUCCAGCAGGUAGUACAGUAUAGCCUCAGCUAGUCCAGCAGGUAGUCCAGUAUAGCCUCAGCUAGUCCAGCUCCUAGUCCAGCAGGUAGUACAGUAUAGCCUCAGCUAGUCCAGCAGGUAGUCCAGUAUAGCCUCAGCUAGUCCAGCAGGUAGUACAGUAUAGCCUCAGCUAGUCCAGCUCCUAGUCCAGCAGGUAGUACAGUAUAGCCUCAGCUAGUCCAGCUCCUAGUCCAGCAGGUAGUACAGUAUAGCCUCAGCUAGUCCAGCAGGUAGUACUGUAUAGCCUCAGCUAGUCAGCCCCUAGUCCAGUAUAGCCUCAGCUAGUCAGCCCCUAGUCCAGCAGGUAGUUGGUUUUGAGAGAGAGCCUUGACAGAAUGAUAACCACGCCACAGAACUGUAUACAUUUAUCAAUGAUACAUGUUCCAACUCGGGUCCCUUGACACAGAGGCAAGUACGCUAACCCCAAGAUAGACAACUCUAGAGCUUCUCCCUAACCCUUAACCCUAACCGCUUAACCCUAACCCCAAGAUAGACAACUCUAGAGCUUCUCCCUAACCCUUAACCCUAACCCCAAGAUAGACAACUCUAGAGCUAACCCUAAACCUUAACCCUAACCCCAAGAUAGACAACUCUAGAGCUUCUCCCUAACCCUAACCCUUAACCCUAACCCUUAACCCUAACCCCAAGAUAGACAACUCUAGAGCUACUCCCUAACCCUUAACCCCUAACCCCUAACCCUUAACCCUAACCCCAAGAUAGACAACUCUAGAGCUAACCCUAACCCUUAACCCUAACCCCUAACCCUAACCCCUAACCCCAAGAUAGACAACUCUAGAGCUAACCCUAACCCUUAACCCCCCUAACCCCUAACCCUAACCCCUAACCCCAAGAUAGACAACUCUAGAGCUUCUGAAAGGUUGUUCUAGUGUGGAUAUGAAUGGAGGCUAUGGUCAUAACAGAGAACAGAAAAACAUGGAUGUCUGAGAGUAGUUGUUCUGCUGGUCAGGGAAGGCAAUAGAUUGUAUAGUUAUCUUCUGAUCAGGGUAAAAUCACUACCCCACAACAAUACAAUCUACUACCUCACAACGCCUCAGCAGAUAGACAAUGACUUCAUAAUGUUGACGAUGUACCUUGAUGAUUUCUUCCUGUUCGUUCUCAAAACACCACAGCAAAUACGAUCAGAAUAGAAUCUUUUACAAUGACCAUAAGAGGAGAUUGACUGUAGUAUCCUUGGUGAUUGACACAUUGAGAAAGACAGUAGGUUGUACAGUUAUCUCCCAGUGUGGGUGUGACCCUAAAACUAUCCAACCUACUACCUCAUCCCACUGAGCUGAGGAACCUGGAGAGGAACCUGGAGAGGAACCUGGAGAGGAACCUGGAGAGGAACCUGGUCUGAUCCACCUCACAGCAUC
rnacentral:lncRNA from 1 species